UUACUUUUACGGAGGUUAAUUCUAUUCGGGCUAGUGCAAACAAGGUUGUUUGCUGUCAUUUCUCUUCAGAUGGUAAAUUUCUUGCUACUGGUGGUCAUGAUAAAAAGGCUGUACUGUGUUAUACAGAUGCUAUAAAGCUGAAGACGACUCUCGAAGAACAUUCAUCGAUGAUCACGGAUGUGCGUUUCAGCCCAAGUAUGCCGCGCCUUGCCACAUCAUCUUUUGAUAAAACCGUCCGUGUCUGGGAUGCCGACAAUCCUGGUUUUUCUCUGCGUACCUUUAUGGGACAUUCUGCAUCUGUGAUGUCAUUGGAUUUCCACCCGAACAAAGACGACCUCCUCUGUUCGUGUGACGGGGAUUGGGAGAUACGCUA